rnacentral:rRNA from 1 species
GACGAACGCUGGCGGCGUGCCUAACACAUGCAAGUGGAGCGACGAACCAGGCUUCGGCCUGGGGCAAGGCCGCGAACGGGUGAGUAACACGUGGGUAACCUGCCCUGAUGAUUGGGACAACCCGAGGAAACUCGGGCUAAUACCGAAUGUGCCCUCCGGCCUCAAGGCCGCUGGGGAAAGGAAGCUUCGGCCUCCGCAUCGGGAUGGGCCCGCGGCCCAUUAGCUUGUUGGUGAGGUAACGGCUCACCAAGGCGACGAUGGGUAGCUGGUCUGAGAGGACGAUCAGCCACACUGGGACUGAGACACGGCCCAGACUCCUACGGGAGGCAGCAGUGGGGAAUCUUGCGCAAUGCGCGAAAGCGUGACGCAGCAACGCCGCGUGGGGGAAGAAGGCCUCGG